rnacentral:rRNA from 1 species
GACGAACGCUGGCGGCGUGCUUAACACAUGCAAGUCGAACGAAAAGAGGGAAGAGCUUGCUCUUUCCGGAAUUGAGUGGCAAACGGGUGGGUAACACGAAACCACCCUGCCUUCGGGUGGGGGCAAACAGAGGGAAACAACUGCUAAUACCAAAUAGGUUCAAAGAGCGGCAGGCCCCUGGGAAGAAAAGUGGGCCUCUACCGGUAGGCUACGGCCGAAGGGGGGGUUGGGGUCUGAUAAGCGGGUUGGAGGGGUAACGGCCCACCAAGGGGACGAUCAGUAGCCGGUCUGAGAGGAUGAACGGCCACACUGGAACUGAGACACGGUCCAGACUCCUACGGGAGGCAGCAGUGGGGAAUCUUCCGCAAUGGGCGAAAGCCUGACGGAGCAACGCCGCGUGAGUGAUGACGGCCUUCGGGUUGUAAAACUCUGUGAUCCGGGACGAAAAGGCAGAGUGCGAAGAACAAACUGCAUUGACGGUACCGGAAAAGCAAGCCACGGCUAACUACGUG